UACGUAGGGGGCGAGCGUUGUCCGGAUUCAUUGGGCGUAAAGCGCGCGUAGGCGGCUUCGUAAGUCGGCCGUGAAAUCUCCAGGCUUAACUUGGAGGGGUCGGGCGAGACUGCGGAGCUCGAGGUGGGCAGAGGGCAGUGGAAUUCCGGGUGUAGUGGUGGAAUGCGUAGAGAUCCGGAGGAACACCAGCGGCGAAGGCGGCGCUCUGGGUCGAGCCUGACACUGAGACGCGAAGGCAUGGGGAGCGAACGGG
rnacentral:rRNA from 1 species